rnacentral:rRNA from 6 species
AGACCCGAAACCCGGUGAUCUAGCCAUGGGCAGGUUGAAGGUUGGGUAACACUAACUGGAGGACCGAACCGACUAAUGUUGAAAAAUUAGCGGAUGACCUGUGGCUGGGGGUGAAAGGCCAAUCAAACCGGGAGAUAGCUGGUUCUCCCCGAAAGCUAUUUAGGUAGCGCCUCGUGAAUUCAUCUCCGGGGGUAGAGCACUGUUUCGGCUAGGGGGCCAUCCCGGCUUACCAACCCGAUGCAAACUGCGAAUACCGGAGAAUGUUAUCACGGGAGACACACGGCGGGUGCUAACGUCCGUCGUGAAGAGGGAAACAACCCAGACCGCCAGCUAAGGUCCCAAAGUCAUGGUUAAGUGGGAAACGAUGUGGGAAGGCCCAGACAGCCAGGAUGUUGGCUUAGAAGCAGCCAUCAUUUAAAGAAAGCGUAAUAGCUCACUGGUCGAGUCGGCCUGCGCGGAAGAUGUAACGGGGCUAAACCAUGCACCGAAGCUGCGGCAGCGACACUGUGUGUUGUUGGGUAGGGGAGCGUUCU